rnacentral:rRNA from 1 species
CGGGGUUGCGGACAGUGUCUGGUGGGUAGUUUGACUGGGGCGGUCUCCUCCCAAAGAGUAACGGAGGAGCACGAAGGUUAGCUAAUCCUGGUCGGACAUCAGGAGGUUAGUGCAAUGGCAUAAGCUAGCUUGACUGCGAGCGUGACGGCGCGAGCAGGUGCGAAAGCAGGUCAUAGUGAUCCGGUGGUUCUGAAUGGAAGGGCCAUCGCUCAACGGAUAAAAGGUACUCCGGGGAUAACAGGCUGAUACCGCCCAAGAGUUCAUAUCGACGGCGGUGUUUGGCACCUCGAUGUCGGCUCAUCACAUCCUGGGGCUGAAGUAGGUCCCAAGGGUAUGGCUGUUCGCCAUUUAAAGUGGUACGCGAGCUGGGUUUAGAACGUCGUGAGACAGUUCGGUCCCUAUCUGCCGUGGGCGCUGGAGAAUUGAGGGGGGCUGCUCCUAGUACGAGAGGACCGGAGUGGACGCAUCACUGGUGUUCGGGUUGUCAUGCCAAUGGCACUGCCCGGUAGCUAAAUGCGGAAGAGAUAAGUGCUGAAAGCAUCUAAGCACGAAACUUGCCCCGAGAUGAGUUCUCCCUGAGACUAUAAGUCUCCUGAAGGAACGUUGAAGACGACGACGUUGAUAGGCCGGGUGUGUAAGCGCAGCGAUGCGUUGAGCUAACCGGUACUAAUGAACCGUGAGGCUUAACCUU